ACACAUGCAAGUCGAGCGGAUGAAGAGAGCUUGCUCUUUGAUUCAGCGGCGGACGGGUGAGUAAUGCCUAGGAAUCUGCCUGAUAGUGGGGGACAAGGUUUCGAAAGGAACGCUAAUACCGCAUACGUCCUACGGGAGAAAGCAGGGGACCUUCGGGCCUUGCGCUAUCGAGAUGAGCCUAGGUCGGAUUAGCUAGUUGGUGAGGUAAGUGGCUCACCAGGGCGACGAUCCGUAGCUGGUCUGAGAGGAUGAUCAAUCACACUGGAACUGAGACACGGGCCAGACUCCUACGGGAGGCAGCGGUGGGGAAUAUUGGACAAUGGGCGAAAGCCUGAUCCAGCCAUGCCGCGUGUGUGAAGAAGGUCUUCGGAUUGUAAAGCACUUUAAGUUGGGAGGAAGGGCAUUAACCUAAUACGUUAGUGUUUUGACGUUACCGACAGAAUAAGCACCGGCUAACUUCGUGCCAGCAGCCGCGGGAAUACGAAGGGUGCAAGCGGUGAUCGGAAUUACUGGGCGUAAAGCGCGCGUAGGUGGUUUGUUAAGUUGAAUGUGAAAGCCCCGGGCGCACCUGGGAACUGCAUCCGAAACUGGAAGCUAGAGUAUGGAAGAGGGUGGUGGAAUUUGUUGUGUAGGGGGAAAUGGUAGAUAUAGGAAGGAACACCAGGGGCGAAGGCGACCACCGGGGCCGAAACGGACACGGAGGAGCGAAAGCGGGGGGAGCAAGCGGGAUUAGAUGCCCUGGGAAGCCCCGCCGGAAACGA
rnacentral:rRNA from 1 species